rnacentral:rRNA from 1 species
GAUGAACGCUAGCUACAGGCUUAACACAUGCAAGUCGAGGGACCGGCGCACGGGUGAGUAACACGUAUACAACCUGCCCUUUACUCGGGGAUAGCCUUUCGAAAGAAAGAUUAAUACCCGAUAUAAAGGAUGGGGAUGCGUUCCAUUAGGUUGUUGGUGAGGUAACGGCACACCAAGCCUUCGAUGGAUAGGGGUUCGGAGAGGAAGGUCCACCAAAGUGGAACUUAGACACGGUCCAAACUCCGACGGAAGGGAGGAGUGAGGAAUAUUGGGCAAUGGGCGCUAGCCUGAACCAGCCAAGUAGCGUGAAGAAUGAAGGCUUAUGGGUCGUAAACUUCUUGUAUAUAAGAAUAUGUAUUAUAUGAAUAAGGAUCGGCUAACUCCGUGCCAGCAGCCGCGGUAAUUC